rnacentral:rRNA from 1 species
AGUAACGGCGAGUGAAGCGGCAACAGCUCAAAUUUGAAAUCUGGCCCCCAGGGCCCGAGUUGUAAUUUGCAGAGGAUGCUUUUGGCGCGGUGCCUUCCGAGUUCCCUGGAACGGGACGCCAUAGAGGGUGAGAGCCCCGUCUGGUCGGACACCAAGCCAGUGUAAAGCUCCUUCGACGAGUCGAGUAGUUUGGGAAUGCUGCUCUAAAUGGGAGGUAUAUGUCUUCUAAAGCUAAAUACCGGCCAGAGACCGAUAGCGCACAAGUAGAGUGAUCGAAAGAUGAAAAGCACUUUGAAAAGAGGGUUAAACAGUACGUGAAAUUGUUGAAAGGGAAGCGUUUAUGACCAGACUUGGGCCCGGUGAAUCAUCCAGCGUUCUCGCUGGUGCACUUUGCCGGGCUCAGGCCAGCAUCAGUUCGUCGCGGGGGAUAAAAGCUUCGGGAACGUGGCUCCCUCGGGAGUGUUAUAGCCCGUUGCAUAAUACCCUGCGGUGGACUGAGGUUCGCGCUCCGCAAGGAUGCUGGCGUAAUGGUCAUCAGCGACCCGUCUUGAAACACGGACCAAGGAGUCGUCUUCGUAUGCGAGUGUUCGGGUGUAAAACCCCUACGCGUAAUGAAAGUGAACGCAGGUGAGAGCUUCGGCGCAUCAUCGACCGAUCCUGAUGUUCUCGGAUGGAUUUGAGUAAGAGCAUACGGGGCCGGACCCGAAAGAAGGUGAACUAUGCCUGUAUAGGGUGAAGCCAGAGGAAACUCUGGUGGAGGCUCGCAGCGGUUCUGACGUGCAAAUCGAUCGUCAAAUAUGGGCAUGGGG